UUUACACAGACAUUUUGGCAUGCUGGCCACCUCCAAGUCAUGCAUUAAGCAAAAUUUUAAUGGAGGUGGACAGAAUGCCAAGAUGGCUCUGUAAC
rfam:Nelumbo nucifera unplaced genomic scaffold scaffold00077, whole genome shotgun sequence